AAAACCCAAGAGGAGAAUCAGCUGAGUCUCUAGAGCAUCGGUUCUCAACCUUCCUAGUGUGCGACCCUUUAAUACACUUCUUCAGGUUGUGGUCAAAUGACCAGAGAUAAAGAGAAAGGUGCUUAAGGUAUCCAGAGUUGUGGAUCCAACUCUGUGGAGGAGAGCUGGUCUAGCAUGCACGAGGCCCUGGGUACAAACAGGAGAACUACACAAAGGAAAAGCCAGGCAUCUUCCUAGUGGUCAAUCAACCCCUCCAAACCACAGUUCCAAUAGCAGGCGCACAGUGAACACACCUCCCGUUCUUCCACUGCCAAUCUGUACGGCGGGCUGAAGGCUUCUUUCAUUUUGCAAUAGAUGAGGCAAAUGAUAAUAAAUACUUGGCACUCGAAGUGAUUUUUUGCUUGUCAACUCUUUUAGAAGCUUUAUGGUAUUAAUGGUGUGUUUGGAAAUCGCCUGCCAUCAAAACAUAAUCUAAUGAAGAUCACAAGGGCUGCCAGAAAUGUAACCAAACGCUUCGCAAAAAUGUCUCUCACAGAGCUGUGAUUUGGAAGGGCAAAAGUGACCCAGGAAAACAUUCAUUUGCUAAUUAUAGAAGGAAAUGCUUCAUUUGCUGUGGUCUAUGAUUAGCACAUUAGCUAGAAAAGUAUUUCAGUUGGUGUGGGGAGUACACACGGCUAAUCCUAAGCACUUGCAAGGCUGAAUCGGGAGGCUCACAAGUCUGAGGCCAGCCUGGGCUACAUAAGUUACUUCUUGAACAGCCUGUGCCAUAGAGUAAAAUCUUAGACCAUUAAAAUAAAAUUUUAAUGCAAAUAGUAUUUUGAAGAAUAAUGACGUCAGACACUAACACACAGGCAGAAACUAACUAAACAU
rnacentral:lncRNA from 1 species